rnacentral:rRNA from 1 species
UACGAAGGGGGGCUAGCGUUGCUCGGAAUCACCGGGCGUAAAGCGCACGUAGGCGGAUUGCUAAGUCAGGGGUGAAAUCCUGGAGCUCAACUCCAGAACUGCCUUUGAUACUGGCGAUCUCGAGUCCGGGAGAGGUGAGUGGAACUGCGAGUGUAGAGGUGAAAUUCGUAGAUAUUCGCAAGAACACCAGUGGCGAAGGCGGCUCACUGGCCCGGUACUGACGCUGAGGUGCGAAAGCGUGGGGAGCAAACAGG